rnacentral:lncRNA from 1 species
CCCAAUCACCCGCAUGGGCUGGAGCGAGGAAGGUUGGCGAUUUGGGUUGCUGAGCAGCCGGUCCCAUGGCGUUUAACAACGCUGGACUUGCACUUAAUACAGAAGGCAAGGUCAAGUCGUUGGAUGAGAUUUCCUUAUCCACGACCGUGACUAACAAGCCAUUAUGGAUGGGACGUUUUGUUUACUUUCUAGGUUGUAUUUGGUCACUUAUUGGCGUUGCCAGGUAAGUUUAAUAUGUCAACAUCCAGAAAUUAUCAUCACUUUUAUAUAGAUAUUACUGUUGUAUUUCCAGACCUACUCUCUAAAAUGUAACUUAUAUCGGAAUAGGAUUAUCUCCCCUUCUAUUCUCAUCAUCUUUCCUCCUCUUCUCUCACACUUUGUUUUUUAAUUUAUUAUCUCUAUAAAAAAAUCAAUAUAAAAUGUUGACAUGGCUUAACCGUAACCAUUCAAGUAAGAGGGUUGGAAAGGGAAGAGAUAUUAGAAGGGAAAAGAAUCAUCCUCCACUUAUAUAAGGGUUGUGGGCUGAAAUGAUCUAGUUUCAGCUCUUACUUGUUGAAAUGAUCAAAUUUUAGUGUGUUGUCAAUUAUGAUUUUUGAUCGGUUCAACAAUUAAAAUUUAAUUUUAAAUUAUUUUAACGGAAAGAUGUAAUGGUAAAUUAUGAAGCAUAGCCCCAUAUUUGGGCUUUAUUUUGACCGUUGUCAACAUAAACGUCCUCAAGUGUUAUGUGACCCUGGGAACUCAAGAGAAGGUAGAAUUCUUUUAGGAAAUAUUUGUUUUAAAGUUAGUUGUCUUGGUUCUUUUUAUUAAAAAAUUCAAGGGUAGAGGAGAAACAAAGUUGGAAUCUCCUCCAACUUUGGAAAGACAGCCAUCAUAGACCAAGACCUAGUUUUUUUUCAUUUUAAAGAGAAUUUUUGUGUCUAGGACUAGUCCAUUUAAGUAAGAGUUAUGUUAAGGAGACUAAAUUUGUACAUAAAAUUUUGUAAAUUAAAUGACAUAGAAGUUGAUAAUUAGAUUAUCAUUUAAACGUUGAUAAACGUGUUCGUUUUCUAUUGAUGACACGUCAUUUGAUUUGUAAAAUAGGGUGUAACUACCAAAAAAUUCAAUUAAAUGUAAUGAAAAGUUUUUUGGGUGUGAAUCGAAUUCUUGUCUUUAAAUUUUCUGUCGAAGAAGGGUGAAAUUUAAGAGAUGGUUGGAGUAUGGAGAAAAUAGGUAUAGAGAGAAAUAUGGAUGAUAUCAUAAUUUCUGAUUUAGAGAUGCAAAUUAAGGUGUUGUAUGUAACCGAUGAUGAUCAAGAUACAUCCGGUCUAAUGUGAUUACUCAAACUUUGCAAGUGGUGGAUUACUAUAGUGGAUAUAGUCUCCCUCUUUAAUGAGAGAUAUAUCAUAAUACAUAUAACUGGACGACAAAGUUGACAUGUCCCCUUUCUGGUUAUAUUUUUCAGUGUUCAUCUAUUUAUAUAACGACACAUGGUGUACCUUUUUAUAUGCUGAGUACAUUGAAAAAUCUCUUCUCUUUAACCACUGUAAUUUGAGUUCAAAUUAUUUUCUUUUUUAUCGUUUAGAUGAACUUAGUGUAGAUUAUUUAUCAUUUGUAAAAAGAAAUUACUCAAACUUUGAUGUUGUAACUCAUGAGUUUCAAUGUACAGCUAGAUUUUGUCUUGUAUUAUUAUGUAAUUAGACAUUUUAUAACAUGCUUUGCUCGAGGCCUCCAGCUUGGUCUGUAGAUGAGGCAAAUAAUUUAUAAGUUAAAUUACUGGCGCACUAUCAAGCCAAUACCAAUGUGUCCGACAUAAGCUUCCAUGUCAAAUCAUUAUCCUUUUCUUGCCCCUAAAACCACACUCUCAAUUAUGAUCAUGUUCCUGAAUUCAUACUCUCAAAUAUAUUAGGCAUGUAAUUUGUUAUUGCUAACCACUAAAGUAUGAAUUCAUUACCAGCUAUUCCUCUUAAAAUACAUGCAAUAAUGUGUCCUUUGCCAUUAUAAAAUGACUCCAAGCAAUCCCUACUAAGAUGGGAAAUUAUUGUGCCCAUCUACUCCGUAAUGUGUUAUAUUUUACAAUGUAUAUCGAAACCACUUAUAUUGUAACACGUGUACUAUUAUUAAUGAUAUAUAUCAAAGCUUUUAACCCAAAACAACAAAUUUAAAAUUUAAUACACUUUAUAAUCUUUCUUCCUAAUGACCAGAAAAAGGAAACAAAUAUAUAUUUUUUUUUUCGUAAUUAAAAUCCUACGUAAUUUUUUUUUUCAAUUAAAUUAUAUGUAAUUAGGUGAAACAUUGCAGGAUAUCUACUGCGAGAGAAACAAACAUACGGAAAUUUCCAAAACGUAUUGCUUUCUACUUGCUCUAUGUUGGAAAAGUCGAAAUUGAAUUUUUAUUUUACACUAAAUCUUUUGAAAUAUUUAUUAUUUGGGUAAGUCCAAUAUUUUAUGUUUGAGGGUUUAGGUCUUGUAUUAGCAUGAUUUCAUAGCUUAUUCAUAUAUUUGGUUGGGGUGAGCUCCUGCUGUUAUACAAAUAUACUUAGUUUAUCAGCAUGCUUUUUCAUAUAUUUGGUUGGGGUGGGCUUAUUCAUAUAUUUGGUUUAGGUCUUGUAUUAGCAUGCUUUUUAUCUUUUUUGGGUCAACAAACAUUUAAACAUGCUAGCAUGCAUAUUGAUACUUAGUUUAUCAGAUUAUUUCAAAAGUAUCUUUUCAUGUCUACAUGCUUUUUAGCUUAAACAUUUCCUCAAAAUUGAAACGACGCUAGAGUUUGACAAAAUGAAUACUACUUGCAUUUCUUAGAUUUGACAAAAGAAUUGGAACCGUGCUCAUGGACUCCUUUUAUUUUAUCUUUCUUCUGAUGUUUUAGGUCACAUAUAAGAAGGGAGAUAAAAUACGAGUCGUGACUAGUUUGGAUCCAGGAUUUUAAACUCGGAGGGUCCCAUUAAUAAAGGUCAAAAAAUUUAUAGACAAAAUUAACAUUGAAAAGUUAAAUAUAAUACAUUUCAUUCAAAAAUCAUAAGCAAAACAACAUUACAAGCUAUAAAAUCAUAAUUCAAGCGUCCACGACGAGGUUUCAUAAUGUAAAAAUGUUCUAUAAUAGCAUCAUUACCAAUACAUAAAAAACCUAUUUCUCAAUAUAAACAACUAAGUUGUCACUCAACCAUCAACAAAUAGAUGGUGCUAUUGGGCCAAUUGUUAGAAAGGAUCCUAUUUUCUUUCGGACAAUGCUUGGGUACUGAACAGUCAGUACCUAUUUUCACUGACUAUCUAUGUGGCCUAAUAAGUUUGAACCAUCUGUCAAUCCAAGGACCUUGUCAUCUCUGUAAUCAAACACAAAUCCAUGAUUUAAACCCGUGACCAAACAAUAGUCUUCCUCUUCUCCAACAAGUCUGCCAAGAUCUUCACAGUCGGCCACCAUGAACUCCUCAACUCCGCUAUUUCAAGACUUCACCAAUCUUGUCCUCCACAGCCAUGCUGAGCUCCAUCAUCAGCCAUUCGUAAUCCUUGUCGUCACAAGUUGGCGGCAUCCACAUCAAACCCACAUAGUUGCGUCGUCGUCAAUCUCAUUGCAGUGGUGGAAUCAACGGUUGGAAGAGGGAUUGGGGCAGGGGGAGAGAAGAUGGAGGAAAGAGGAUAGGUCGAAGAAGAAAGCAUAGCCAUGGCAUGGAGAUUAGCAGACAUCGGAGAAGAAGAGUUCUGCUUGGUAUUGGGUUUAAUGGGGUUGGUUUGCGUUUGGUUACGAAGAUAACAAAAGUUGAGAUUGACAUAUGUCUUAAAUUUAUUGGGCCACAUAGAUGGUAAGUGAAAUUGGGUACUGACCCAAGUAUUAUCCUUUUCUUUCUUCUCCACGCGCGAUCGUCUUCUCCAAAAAGAAGAGGAGAAGACGCCGCUGCAACCUGCACAGCAUAGACCUCAUGUAGAUCCGCUACUGGUCGUGACCACCACACGUAAGUUGAGAUAAAUGAUUUUAGGAAAAAUUAGUAUCCGGUCCCUAGUUCUUACUGUUCAUUGACUAAGACCUUAUUAGUUCUCAAAUUUUGAUUCAAGUCCCUAGCAUUAAUGUGAUAAUAAAUUUGCAUGUUUAUUAUAUAAUUUUUUUAAUAUAAAAAUUAGUAAUUAAUUUAGGGUUUAAUACUCACACCUCUAUUAAACUUCUAAUUAAUUUUCAAUUCAAACAUUUCCAAAAUAAUAAAAAAUUAAAUUAAAUUAAGUUUGUAC